UUGGUUUAGGCACAAUGCAAAAGGUGGAUUGCUAUUGUAAACAAACAAACACCCGUGUCUGACUGUAUGCCCCCCUCCCCCCUUCAACAACACCGUCAAAUGCUAGACCAUGAAUUUAAAAGACAAUAAACAAUUGUAAAGGGGUUAUUGUGUCAUGAAACAACUGUGAGUUUCAUGGGUCUUCACCCCUUUAACUAAAUAUUGGCUCCAAGCGGCAGUCAGAUCGGCCAUAGACUGGCACCUGCUGUUGACUCUGAUAUGGAGCCGAUCUGCACAUCACUUAAACAUUUGCAAACUAAAAAAAAAUCAAUAGUUUCAUAGCAAAUCAACUUUGAGAAAAUGGAUUUCAUUUUUUCAUAAUGAAACAAGUAAAGGAGAAAAUUCUACAGCAUCUGAAAAUCAUUCUUUCAGUUGACAUAAGAUUAUAGAAAAAAAACGAUGCAGUAUUAAGCUAUAGGAUGCAAUUCAUGGAUUGUUGAUGCGUAGAAUAUUAGACUGACAGAAAGUGAAAAAUGAAAGAUUAGUAGUACCUAUUUAAGGUAUUGAAAUCUAUAAGACAUGAAAGAUAAGAAAGGGAUUGCGUUGAGAUGAGAUGAGGCCGCAGUGCACAUAGAGUAUAACGUAAGCUUAAGGUGUUAAAACUUGCCUUUUAUAUAGUGGUUGCUCA
rnacentral:lncRNA from 1 species